CAGCAGCCACGGGAAUACGUAGGGUGCGAGCGUUAAUCGGAAUUACUGGGCGUAAAGCGUGCGCAGGCGGUUAUAUAAGACAGAUGUGAAAUCCCCGGGCUCAACCUGGGACCUGCAUUUGUGACUGUAUAACUAGAGUACGGUAGAGGGGGAUGGAAUUCCGCGUGUAGCAGUGAAAUGCGUAGAUAUGCGGAGGAACACCGAUGGCGAAGGCAAUCCCCUGGACCUGUACUGACGCUCAUGCACGAAAGCGUGGGGAGCAAACAGGAUUAGAUACCCCAGUAGUCCCUGUCUCUUAUAC
rnacentral:rRNA from 1 species